rnacentral:rRNA from 1 species
CGCUAAUGUACCCCGGAGUCUGGGAUAGCUGCCCGAAAGGGCAGGUAAUACCGGAUGACAUCCCCUUAUCGCAUGAUGAGGGUCUCAAAGGAGCAAUCCGCUCUGGGAGCAGGCGAUAUCGUAUCAGGUAGUUGGUGGGGUAACGGCCCACCAAGCCGACGAUCAGUAACUGGUGUGAGAGCACGACCAGUCACACGGGCACUGAGACACGGGCCCG